GGUGUGUGUGCUGCAGCUGGUGUUGUGAAUCAGGCCGAUGUCACACGUCCGCGAUAACCCGGCUAUUUCACAACACCAGGGUGGCACCACACC
rnacentral:pre_miRNA from 5 species